CAAAAAACCACACACACAAACAAACAAACAAAAAAGAAGUAUAGCAACACAAACUUGAUUACUGCUAUGGAGAAAAAGUACAGAGUACAAAAAAGGCAUGUGUAGCAGUGAAAAAAAUGGAAUGGGAAAGGGUGUGUAGAACAUUCUAGGCAUCAGGCACAGCCUAUGCAAAGGCCCUGGGGCAAAACUGAGUGUGACAAUUCCUAGAAUUGAAUGAAGCCCUGAGGUUGGUAUCCCCAACAGCGAGGAAGGGAGUGGAGAAUGCUGUUCCUGAUCCUGUCACCCCUACUGCUUAAAACUCUUCAAUGACUCAUUGCCACUAGCUUUAGUAUAGGAUCCACAUUUGCCCUUGUUUAGGUCCCUGCCUUCCCCUCUGGCCUCACCACUCCUGAUCUGGAUGUUCUGUUGCCUCCCAGACACUGGUCCCUCCAUCCCCAAUCCUUUGCCCGAGUAACUCCUACCGGUCCUUCAGGACUCAGCCUAGACAUCACGGUCUCUAGAAAGCUGGAAUGGAUAUUCUCCUGUUUGCCUCUUCAAAUCCAAGCGCUCUCUGUAGGUUUUGCCAGGAGGGAGGGAAGCGAGGUCAGGGGCCUGCUCUGCAGUUAGCUGUGUGGCUGUGGGUAAGUUACUCAACUUCUCUGUACUUCAGUUUCUUCAUGAGGUAAAAUGGAGAUAAUAACUGCACUGACCUCAUAGGAUUAUUGUGAAGGUUAAAUGAAUUAAUAAUAUAUGUAAAGUGCCUAGAGCUGUGCCUGGCACAUAGAAGUGCCUUGUGUUUGCUGUUAUUGGUCUUUAGUCUUCUCCUGUCCUGGACUGGGUACUGUGUCAUUGGUUUCAGUCUUGCCUCUCCUCACAGGGCUGGGGAACUUUAGGGAGUGCCUAGGCCUCCCUGCAUUCCUGCAUCCUACUACUUUGCCCAGUGGAAGUCAUAUGGUAACUGCCUAACCAGUUGGAUUUGCUCUAAGAAGAAUGAAUUUCUGGCCAUCUCCCAUAUGGAAGUAAACAUGAACUCUGGCCUCUUCUCCCAGUUGGGGGACAAGGGGUUCUGAUCUCUGAGAUCUCUCUCCACACCCUGACUCCCAAUACCACCCUGCACCCCAGCCUCCUGCCAGCUGGCAGCAGGGCACAUCCCAAUGGCCCUGGAAUGGAAGAGUGAGGGGCACUGGUGGUGAAGGCAGGGUGGGUGGUGAGGACGAUGGUCUUGUGAACACCUGUGGACAGGGGGAUCUUCACAUUCACAAGGAAACUGAUGACCCAGGUGGGUCCAGUGGGAAGUGGCCAGGGUGGACAAGGCCUUCAAAUCUGAGAAACAAAGUAGUUGGGGGUGCCACACCCAGGGAAGAGAGGAGGAGUCUUUCCAUGCUGAAGGGGGACCUGGGGAGGAGAGAAGACCCUUUCUGAGUAGCCCAGGAGGCAGAGAAAUGCAUGCACUGCAGGUUCUGUGUCUGGACUGAUAACAACCAUUGUUCCUAAUGACCUUUGUUCCUGAGCAAUGUGUCCAAGGCUUGACACUGCUGUGUGCCACAGCCCCACGCUGACAGUGACUGCAGCACACACCGCAGUAUGCUAGUGCUAACCGUCCCGACAGUGCCCUCCCUUGGUCAUCUUAGUCUUCUGCAUCCUUAGUUCCUCAUACAGAAUUGGGGUUGGGGAACAGCCAGUUCCUGUUUGCUGGUUGAAGGAAGGAAUGAACCCAUAUGGUAGGGGCAGGGCAGAAGAGGCAGAGGAAUCAGAUAGAGCUGGGUUCAAAGUUCUGCUCCUCAUCUCCUAGCUCUGUGGUGCUGGGCAAGUCGCUCAGCUUCUCUGAGCCUCAGUAGUCUUGUCUGUGAAAUAGGAUACCCAGUACUUACUUCUCUGCGUUGCUGUCAGGUUCUGUGUAAACAAAGGGUGGCACAGUGAUUGGUGCCUGCCUAAAGGCUCAGGAAACAAAGCAAGAACUUUCUUCCACGUCUCUGCUUGUCCUUGAAUCUGUGUGUAGUGUGACUCACCCUUUCAGGACCCCGUCUUUCUGGCAUCUUUGAGUCCUCUGCUGCUCCCAAACUUCAAGCCUCAGCCUGUCCCACAAGGGAACAGACACAGGGUACAGAGAGCUGCCCACCUUCACCUUGAGGGAGCCUGGAGGUCAACUCUUUUGUCCAGCCCUCCCUCUGGGGGUCCUUGCCUCUCUACCCCAUCCUUCAUCUCAGCCAGCCCAAAGGGACAUCCCAGAGAACAACUCAAGCUGGAAGGUGCUGGAAUUGGUGGGAAAAAAGGCCCACGACGGUGAGGAAUGAGUUCCUGAGGCCUGGGUGCCCCACACCCCCUGGGCCUGCCUGCUCCCUGCAGAAGGGUCCCUGGUACCUUCUAUUUUCCCAGCCAGGAGGCCGCCGGUUCCCACAUUACCACAUGAAUGGGGCACAAGCCCCCCUGUCCACUCGAGCAAACAAUUUGGCUAGCAAAUUGACAUAAUUACAAGAGACAGCGAGGGAAGAAAAACGCUCCCCACCCCCUUGGCCCCCCAGCGGGCGACUCCCGCCGAGUUCCUCUGGGCUUUGUGGGCCGGGCGCUCAGGGCUGAUUAGAAACCUUGUGGCCUUUUCAAGAGCCCUAAGUGAUUGGUCCCUUAAUCUGAUUACAAUUUGCAGAGCCCCUCCAACCACCUCUGAAGGGCUGUUCUCAAGCGCCCCGCUAGACGAUGUGCAAGUACACACACACACACACACACACACACACACACACACACACCGAGCACCCACUUGGGCCUGCUGGGCGGGGGCUCUGCCACUUUCGUCCUCAUGCCUCACUCCCUCAGUCAGGCAUAUCAGGUCCCAUUCCCUGUGCCCCAAACCUCAGACACACAAAGGGCCUGACACUGCCCCUAAUACAUGGGGUUGCCCAUCUUUAGAGGGUCUCACACAGAUACAAUGCCCAGGCCAGGGGCUUAUGUGCACACACACUCCUGUGAGUGCACCUUCUUCUCAUCUCCCAUCCCUUCUCAGGGCGGCUGCCCUGAGCAUCCAGGGUUAGGCUGCCUGACCCCAUCAAGGGCAGCCUCUCUCCCCAGCAGCGGUAUUUCUGGGGCUCCUUGGGCUGCAGCUCCCACGGGAUUAGGCCCAGCAGGCUGCCUGGACACCGUUCAGGCACAGGCUGCCCAGGGACAGGACUUGGGCUGCUCCCAGCUUGGGAACUCAGCUCACAGGGACUUUAGUCAAUGGCCUCAGCCAUCCACAUCCAAUUUGUAUCUCUUAAUCCCUGGGACUGAGCCACAAUGGCUCCUUUUCCUGUACUUGCUGGGGCUCUCAUAGGCCCCAGCCUGGCCUCCCACCCCAAAUAGAGCUCCCACUGGGCAGCAGCUCGGGAUAGGAGUGGGGUGGGGGGAAAAGCAGGGGCCAAGGCAGAAGUGGACUGAAGUGGGGGCUCUGCCCUUGUUAACUGUUCCACCCUAGAAGAUGCAAGUUGGGCGUGUGUAUGAGAAUAGGGAACAUGUGUAGGGCCUUCCGGAGUGACCCCCAGUCUGCUGUAACCCCAUCUUUUGUGCAUCCCAGUCUGGAGGCCCUGGGAAGGGUAUUGUCUACUUAGGAACCCCAUCCUUUUGUCAGGUCAUCCUAAAUACCUGGAGCCUGGAGUCAGAGAGCAGGGAACACGGAGCCCAGGUUCAGACACUGGAAUCAGAAGGAUCUGUGACCUUGACUGAGUAACUUAUCUGAUCUAGGCUUCAGUUUCCCCAUGUGUAAGAUGGGAAUGCUGCAGCCUCUCUCUCUCUCAGGGUUGCUGGGAGGCUAAAUGAGCUGAGGCACAUAAGACCCUCAGCACGGUGCCCAGCGCAGUCAGUGCUCCAUGCCAGGUUGUGUCAUUGUUCACAAGUCAAGAACAAAGAGGGGACUUGAAGUACAACCAUCAAACACACGGAUGGGGCAGUCUGUGUGCACCCCCUGUAUCCCUGUGGAGAGAAACUUGGGCUCUGCAGGGCUAAGGAACUUCACUUUACAGUUGGGUUUUCCAGGAGGACCUUCUCAGUUGCCCACGUUUGUCAUAUCUAGCUGAUUAUGUGACCUAGUGCUGGUUUUAGAAAGAGGGGCCUCAACCCAGAUCUCUGCCAGGGAGGUGAGGCAGGAGAAUAGGGUCUGAAAGCAGGGAACUUAUGGCCAACGCAUGGUGACUGGAUAUCAGAGGCUACUGACUUUUCAACCCCUCCUUUGUGUGGCAGUUGAAAAAUGAAAGUACCACUGAUUGGUCCCCUCCCACAACCAAUCAGACUGGUCGUGGGCCUACUCUUCCCCUCUGGCAACCAAUCAGACUGGCCGCAGGCCACUACUUCAUUUGCAUAGAGUGAACCAAUGGGAAACUUCUAGAGGGUAUUUAAACCUCAGAAAAUUCUGUAACCCAUGCUCUUGAACCACUUGCUCGAGGCUGCUCCCACCCUGUGGAGUGUACUUUUGUUUAAAUUAAAUCUUUGCUUUCACUGCCUUGUUUUGUUUGUGUGUUUUGUCCAGUUCUUUGUUCAAAACGCCAAGAACCCAGGCAACUACCCUUAACUGGUUACAUAUGUUGGGGAACCAGUCAGGAGGUAAGCCCAACGUUUAGGAUUUAUUUUUCUCUUUUUCCUCUUUCUCUCUUUUUCUCUCCAACUCAGGACCUUCGGUGGAUAGCGCCUAUGCACAGAGGCAACUGCAGGUUUCUGGCCAGGGCUACUUUAUGGUGAAACCAAGAGGUUUCUAUGUGGAAGCACCUAACCCCCACUGCCUGGCUUGGAGACCAUCAAGCUUCAGAUGAUCCUGUGACAAGGUUUUCAGCCUGUUCCAAAUGAAGACAGCACCCCUGGCCAUCAAGAAACUACCCUGUCUCCACUCAAUAGAUCAGGGCGGGAGUUCAGUGAUCCCCAGUAGGUAGGGACUGCGCCUCAAGUCAGUGUGACACAGUUACAGAAGAAAGACCAUCAGUCCAUCUGUCCCCUAUAAAGAUUUCCGGGGAUCGUGUCUCUCAGGGGGGAAAUGAGGCAGGAGAAUAGGGUCGGGAGGCAGGGAACCUAAGGCUGAUGCAUGCUGACUAGAUAUCAGAGGCUACUGCCUUUCAAUCCCUCCUUUUUCUGCAUGGCAGUUGCUGCUUGGCAGUUGGAAAUGAAAGUACCUUGGAUUGGUCCUCUUCUGCGACCAAUCAGACUGGUCUCGGGCCACUACUUUAUGUGCAUAGAGUGAACCAAUGGGAAACUCCUGGAGAGUGUUUAAAGCCCAGAAAAUUCUGUAGCCCAAGCUCUUGAGCUGCUUGCUGGAGCCCGCUCCCACCCUGUGGAGUGUACUUUCGUUUAAAAUAAAUCUCUGCUUUUGCUGCCUUA